UACCAGCACCCCGAGUGGUCGGGACGGUUAUUGGGCCUAAAGCAUCCGUAGCCGGUUCUACAAGUCUUCCGUUAAAUCCACCUGCUUAACAGAUGGGCUGCGGAAGAUACUAUAGAGCUAGGAGGCGGGAGAGGCAAGCGGUACUCGAUGGGUAGGGGUAAAAUCCGUUGAUCCAUUGAAGACCACCAGUGGCGAAGGCGGCUUGCCAGAACGCGCUCGACGGUGAGGGAUGAAAGCUGGGGGAGCAAACAGG
rnacentral:rRNA from 1 species